rnacentral:lncRNA from 1 species
ACCAUAAUCCAUUUAAAACUAAACAAUCCAAAAUAAAUAAGAACAUCGUAAUUCAUUUAAAACCAAACAAUCCAAAACGAGAAACAUAAUAAUCCUAAUGGAUUGCUCUUCCAUUUUCUAUUUGAGACUGAACAGUUUCACUAUUUGAAUUAAUGGAUUGCUCUUCCAUUUUCUACAAUGAAGCAAAAAUGAACACAUAAGGUUAAUCUAAUACACUGCACUGCCAGUUUGCCACAUUUAACUAACAAAUCCCAAAUUUGUUAGAAUUUAACUAACAAAUCACAUUUAACUAACAAAUCACAUGUUAAUUAAUCUGUAGCAUAUUUGACCAAAAAUCCCAGAGAUCACAUAUUUGACCAAAAAUCACAUUUAACUAACAAAUCAAGCAAAACUGUAAUCUCGUGAAUGGGAAAAUUUUAGUUUAGGCUUGAACAACAGUAGCAUAUUUGACCAAAAUCCCAGAGAUCACCAUUACUCAAAUAAGUCAAUGGGCUCACCCGCUGGUUGAACACUUGACGGGAAAGAGCCAACUUUGGCAACUCCGGUACUCGUACCUUCUACCGCGGAGCUAAGAUUUCCUACAUCCAAAAGGAAAGAUAAAUUCUUAGAAAGAAAUAUGUAGUAGAACAUCAGAUAAAUAGACUACCCCAUAAUCUCCCACCAGCAAACCAAGCGCUUGGACAAGAUGGUCUUUUUAAUUCCCACGCUGAUGGAUUGGACGGAGAUGGAGCGGCCGGAAAUGGAUUGGACGGAGAUGGAGCGGCCGUAGAUGGAGCGGCGUCGCCUCACGCUGCUGCUCUGCUCACGCUGCUGCUCAGUGCUCACGCUGCAGCUCUCGGGUGGGGAAGGCCGGAGGGGCUGAUUCGGAGGUGGACGGCCGCCGGCCGGAGGAUAGGCGAGCGGCGCGGGUGGAGGAUAGGCGAGCGGCGCAGGUGAGGUUGAGGAUAGGUUGAGCGGCGCAGCUUUGAAAUUGAAUUGUAAAAUUUAGAAGUCUAGUUUUACUUUCUAGGGUUGUAAAAUAAAAAUAUUAUAUCUUUAAUACUACCGGGU